rnacentral:sRNA from 1 species
UUCACCAAGUAGACGAAGUAGAAGAAGAAGAAGAAGAAGAAAGU